rnacentral:tRNA from 1 species
UCCCUGGUGGUCUAAUGGUUAAGACUCAGCACUUCCGCUGCAGGGGCACAAGUUCGAUCCCUGUUCAGGAAG